rnacentral:rRNA from 1 species
UGGGGAAUAUUGCACAAUGGGGAACCCGUAGCAUGCAGCAACGCCGCGUGAAGGAAGACGGUUUUCGGAUUGUAAACUUCUGUUCUAGUAAGAAUAAUGACGGUAGCUAAGGAGCAAGCCACGGCUAACUACGUGCCAGCAGCCGCGGUAAUACGUAGGUGGCAAGCGUUGUCCGGAAUUACUGGGUGUAAAGGGAGCGCAGGCGGGAAGACCAAGUCAGCUGUGAAAACUACGGGCUUAACCUGUAGACUGCAGUUGAAACUGGUUUCUUGAGUGAAGUAGAGGUUGGCGGAAUUCCGAGUGUAGCGGUGAAAUGCGUAGAUAUUCGGAGGAACACCGGUGGCGAAGGCGGCCAACUGGGCUUUAACUGACGCUGAGGCUCGAAAGUGUGGGGAAGCAAACAGGAUUAGAUACC